rnacentral:rRNA from 1 species
AUACGUAGGGGGCGAGCGUUGUCCGGAAUGAUUGGGCGUAAAGGGCGCGUAGGCGGCCCGGUAAGUCUGGAGUGAAAGUCCUGUUUUUAAGAUGGGAAUUGCUUUGGAUACUGUCGGGCUUGAGUGCAGGAGAGGUAAGUGGAAUUCCCAGUGUAGCGGUGAACUGCGUAGAGAUUGGGAGGAACACCAGUGGCGAAGGCGACUUACUGGACUGUAACUGACGCUGAGGCGCGAAAGUGUGGGGAGCAAACAGGAUUAGAUACCCUGGUAGUCCACACUGUAAACGAUGAAUGCUAGGUGUAGGGGGUAUCGACCCCUUCUGUGCCGCAGUCAACACAAUAAGCAUUCCGCCUGGGGAGUACGGCCGCAAGGUUGAAACUCAAAUGAAUUGACGGGG